rnacentral:lncRNA from 1 species
AUUCUAGAAUUAAGGUAGAUAGGGUGUCUUCCUCCAUCUUGGAUUUUGAAAUACUAGAAAACAAGGUCUAGAUCUUUGAUGAAAUGUGCAAAUUUUUAUAGUAGUAGGUAAUUCAUGUGUAAGAAUUUUCAUUAUAAUAUAGAAAAUGCCAUGUUUGAUCAUAUUUAUGAUUGUAUUUUACAAAAAUAAGAAUUCUUUUGUUUGAUUCAUUUUUU